rnacentral:misc_RNA from 1 species
UCUCCUGCAGCCGCAUUCGUCGGCACCAAAGAGUGGACGUUCCUCUCCAACUCGGCGACUGUCCUAUGUAGAAAGGGCAAUCAGCUCCAUUUACUGUAUGUGGACUGCUCAUGUGGUGGAUUAGGGUCCAGCUAUCCAAGCCCAGCCAGAGGGUCCUUGUAGCUGUAUUCCUUGUGAUUGCCAAUUUCUUCAUUGCUGACGUUGCUGGUCAAACAAUUGCAAAAGACCUUGCUGAAGUAUUUGGAUGGAGAGAUACAGAACCAAGUUCUGCACCUUUGCAANGUGUGUUUUCUCAUUCUUUAGUUCUUCCUGAAUAUUUCAAAGACAAUGAAACCAGCCGUGAGUUCUCUCUUCUCUUUACACUCAAUUCUAAAGUGGUCAAAAACUUGAACCUCAGUGUGUCAGCGGAGUCUUAUAAUGAUUCUGUGGUGCUAUUCGACCUACUACUGCAAAAUGGACGAGUCACAGUCAGACAUGACGGCAUUNUUCUCCAGGACAUCAAACCGGAAUUUCUUUUUCAAGGCUGGCAAAAAUUUGUUGUGAUAUAUAGAGGCCUAGAACUUUUACUUCAUGACUGUAACACCGUCGUUAGAAUACCAUUUCCUGAAGGAAAAGCGGAGCUGCCGUCAUGGAGAGACCUUAAAGUAGUUACAUCCCCAAACCUUCCGACGAAAGAAGAUAUCAGAGAAAAUGUAUGCGAGAUGACCCUUAUGAUCGGAUCAAAUGGAGUAUCAGAACACUGUGCCAAGACGUACCCAAUAUGCCCUAAAGGACCUGAAAUCAUUGUACCGACCCCUACCUCUGUAUUGCCAACAAACAGAGUCAUAGAUCCCGACUACGCUGUUCAGAUGAAGGGACCGCCAGGAAAUAAGGGACCUAGAGGAGAUCCUGGUCGGAAUGGAGGGCCUGGAAGACCUGGUCACCCGGGCCGCGAUGGCCCAAAGGGCACAAAAGGACUUAAAGGACUGUUUGGAGAAAAGGGUGAGAAAGGAUAUAAAGGAGUUCGCGGUCCCAUCGGCCCACCAGGUGAGAUGGGUACACCUGGUUUAAAAGGAUUCGCUGGUUUUGCUGGUCACCAAGGUCUUCAAGGCAAACGUGGAAAUCGUGGCCUCAUUGGACCUCAGGGUCUUCCUGGAAUGAUGGGUAUUCAAGGAUUACAUGGUAUUGAAGGAAUUCAGGGCGAAUCUGGACAGUUUGGUGAAGAAGGAGCGAUAGGGGAAAAGGGCUUUCCUGGAGAGACAGGCGGCAUGGGUCUUAUUGGUAGUCCCGGAAAACCUGGAGAACAAGGUCGACCCGGCCCGAGAGGNGUUGUCGGCCACGUGGGUGAACGUGGUCCAAGAGGAUCUCCUGGCAUACUUGGCAUCAAAGGAAUUAAAGGAGAAACCGGCAGUAGUGGAUGGACUGGUCAUAAAGGAUCUAAGGGCGAGCCUGGACGUAAAGGCGUAAAGGAGGAGACCGGUGAUAAAGGCAGCAUGGGUNCACCAGGACCUCCUGGAGGAAAAGGAAAGAGAGGACCGCGAGGGCCAAGGGGUGUCGAUGGUGACGGUGGUAUUAUGGGUGUUCAAGGUGUUCCGGGUAAAAAGGGUGUUCCNGGACAACCAGGUAUACCAGGCAUGCCUGGGGCAAGUGGUGCCAGAGGUCUUCCCGGNAUUGAAGGAAACGCUGGUCUAGUUGGCAUGAAAGGGCAGGAGGGUGAUACUGGUAGUCCUGGUCAGAAGGGUCCCGAAGGUCUUGAAGGUCGAUUUGGAAAGAAAGGCGAUCCAGGAUAUAAUGGUCUAGAUGGUUUCAAGGUAUAGAUAGCGAGGGCAGUAUUGGANGNCAAGGAUUGCCUGGAGAACGUGGAAGACUGGGCCCAACAGGUGUGAAGGGAGCCGAAGGUGACCCUGGAAGUCGUGGCCACUAU